rnacentral:rRNA from 1 species
AGAGUUAGAUCUUGGCUCAGAGUGAACGCUGGCGGCAGGCCUAACACAUGCAAGUCGAACGGCAGCACAGUAAGAGCUUGCUCUUAUGGGUGGCGAGUGGCGGACGGGUGAGGAAUACAUCGGAAUCUACUCUUUCGUGGGGGAUAACGUAGGGAAACUUACGCUAAUACCGCAUACGACCUACGGGUGAAAGCGGAGGACCUUCGGGCUUCGCGCGAUUGAAUGAGCCGAUGUCGGAUUAGCUAGUUGGCGGGGUAAAGGCCCACCAAGGCGACGAUCCGUAGCUGGUCUGAGAGGAUGAUCAGCCACACUGGAACUGAGACACGGUCCAGACUCCUACGGGAGGCAGCAGUGGGGAAUAUUGGACAAUGGGCGCAAGCCUGAUCCAGCCAUGCCGCGUGGGUGAAGAAGGCCUUCGGGUU